UGGACAGCAGCUUUCCGUUCAUGUGAUUGGUUCAGUGGGCGGGAGUGAUUGAUGUUUUGGCAGAGAGGUCAAGGCGAGAACGGGAGCAGGAUGACGACGGGAGAGGAGAGACGCAGGCUAGUACAGCCCGAGACUUGUAAUAUUGCUUUGUUGUAGCCCACAGCUACGAUACUGAACUGUAAACAGAGUUGGACACUGGCCCACGCGUGAGAAGCGGGUUAUAUUGUCGAACUGUACUGCAUAGUUCGACUUUUACUGGACUUUCUUUGAAGCACGUCGCUUAGCCGCUAGCUAGCGACCUGCUAGCGCCACACCGCCAAGCCACGCUUCAGCAGAUGGCGCCCCGUGUUACCAGGAACAACACGGCGGUUCCUCUGGCUCCCGCGGGAGACCCGACGUGUCCUGUCUUCAUCACUCCUGGGACGGAUAUGGAUUUUCCAGCAUUCCUGGGCUGAGUUUGGACUGUCCCUUUCCCUCCGUGUUGUUGUCGGGACUGACCAGGACCCUCUACGCCGCUGAAGAGUAAGAGGACGGUUUCCAACCUGAUGUAAGGCACGGCCGUAGAGAUCGGCGCAGCAGCGUUCAGGCCUUUCCCUCGAUGUCUCUGACCGCCUCGCCGGCGUCCUCCACCUCCCGACUUGAGCUGCGGGCAGACGGAGGACAACACAGUGAGCCAGCUGUUGCAUCAAAUCAGGUUAGAAAGAGACAGCAGCGAACAACCAGUCGGUCCUGAACAGGAAUGCAUUUCUCACAUGUGCUUUAACAAGAGGUUUUAUCAAGAUGAAACAAUAAAAUGAAAACGGUAAGUUGCAAAAGUUCAGGGUUUGUUGCAGGAAAUGUCUAGUGGAAGUGGGAGGUCCACUACAAUUUCUUUUUUCAUGAAAUAUGUAGAUUUUUUUAAAAUGUGUUUUUAUCUUCUACUUUCAGAAGGUGAUAAAAGUGCAAUAAUUUCACCUGACAUUCACGGGUGGAGUGGACCACCUCCACUGUAACAAACUGCAGCAAACCCUGCAAUUUCACAAGUGUUGUUUUUAAAAAAUGGCAACUGAAAAACAAAAAGUCUGAAAAUACACAUUUUAAGUACAACCCUGAUUCCUAAAAAGGUGGGACGAUUUGUAUGCUUUGUCUGAGUUUGAUGACAGGAGCAAGAGAAGACUGGGAAAGACUGGGAAAGUCAUGGACCGCUCAAAACCCACCCGUCUGGAACAGUCCACUGGUGAACAGGUUGUCUGGUAACACAUCGUGCUCAGCAACACUUUGCAAAACCAUCAUUUGCAAUGUUCUUCAGGGGAAAUUCCCCCAGAGGUCCUGUGUUCCUCCCCCUGACAGGCCUGAGCUGCUUUUGGACCUACAAAAUAUUAAGCAGGUGGUUUUAAUGCUGUGGCUGAUCGAUAGAUAAAGGGAGAAAAACAACACACCACAAGCUUUACAUUUUGCUCUUCUUAAGACGAGUACCUCAACUGGUUAUAGAUGGAAAACCACUGGGCUCUAGUUCAGUAACCACUUUUCAACAAUAAACUGAGGGACAAACCGACUAUCAGCCUGGCCGAUUAUCAUCUCACCAGUAAUUUUUCAUAUAUUUGUGUAUAUUUCACAUUGUUGAGUUUUUUUGUCUGAUUGUUGAUAAAAUAAACUAUUUUAAAAAUG